rnacentral:rRNA from 1 species
AGAGUUUGAUCCUUGCGCAGAUUGAACGCUGGCGGCAGGCUUAACACAUGCAAGUCGAGCGGUAACAGGGGGUGCUUGCACCCCGCUGACGAGCGGCGGACGGGUGAGUAAUGCUUAGGAAUCUGCCCAGUAGUGGGGGAUAGCCCGGGGAAACCCGGAUUAAUACCGCAUACGUCCUACGGGAGAAAGCAGGGGAUCUUCGGACCUUGCGCUACUGGAUGAGCCUAAGUCGGAUUAGCUAGUUGGUGGGGUAAAGGCCUACCAAGGCGACGAUCCGUAGCUGGUCUGAGAGGAUGAUCAGCCACAUCGGGACUGAGACACGGCCCGAACUCCUACGGGAGGCAGCAGUGGAGAAUAUUGGACAAUGGGGGCAACCCUGAUCCAGCCAUGCCGCGUGUGUGAAGAAGGCUUUCGGGUUGUAAAGCACUUUCAGCGAGGAGGAAGGCUCUGAAGUUAAUACCUUCAGGGAUUGACGUUACUCGCAGAAGAAGCACCGGCUAACUCCGUGCCAGCAGCCGCGGUAAUACGGAGGGUGCAAGCGUUAAUCGGAAUUACUGGGCGUAAAGCGCGCGUAGGUGGUUAGGUAAGCGAGAUGUGAAAGCCCCGGGCUUAACCUGGGAACGGCAUUUCGAACUGUCUGACUAGAGUGUGGUAGAGGGUAGUGGAAUUUCCUGUGUAGCGGUGAAAUGCGUAGAUAUAGGAAGGAACACCAGUGGCGAAGGCGGCUACCUGGACCAACACUGACACUGAGGUGCGAAAGCGUGGGGAGCAAACAGGAUUAGAUACCCUGGUAGUCCACGCCGUAAACGAUGUCAACUAGCCGUUGGGACUCUUGAAGUCUUAGUGGCGCAGCUAACGCACUAAGUUGACCGCCUGGGGAGUACGGCCGCAAGGUUAAAACUCAAAUGAAUUGACGGGGGCCCGCACAAGCGGUGGAGCAUGUGGUUUAAUUCGACGCAACGCGAAGAACCUUACCUGGCCUUGACAUCCAGAGAACUUUCCAGAGAUGGAUUGGUGCCUUCGGGAACUCUGAGACAGGUGCUGCAUGGCCGUCGUCAGCUCGUGUCGUGAGAUGUUGGGUUAAGUCCCGUAACGAGCGCAACCCCUAUCCCUGGUUGCUAGCAGGUAAUGCUGAGAACUCCAGGGAGACUGCCGGUGACAAACCGGAGGAAGGUGGGGAUGACGUCAGGUCAUCAUGGCCCUUACGGCCAGGGCUACACACGUGCUACAAUGGCGCGUACAGAGGGCUGCCAACUCGCGAGAGUGCGCCAAUCCCUUAAAACGCGUCGUAGUCCGGAUCGGAGUCUGCAACUCGACUCCGUGAAGUCGGAAUCGCUAGUAAUCGCGAAUCAGAAUGUCGCGGUGAAUACGUUCCCGGGCCUUGUACUCACCGCCCGUC